GCACUUAUGGCUCAGUGGUAGAGCAAUCGGCUGCAGUCCGAUAGGUCCCCGGUUCAAAUCCGGGUGGGUGCU
rnacentral:tRNA from 1 species